GGUUGGACCAGAGGAGAGUUGCUUGCGGACUGCCGGCCAUUGACCCUGUCCAAGCUGUGUCGUGUGUGUGAAUGAGAAUCAGAGAACCAGAAGAGCGUCUGGCUUGGCCGUGUCCCGGGAGAACGAGACUGACGCGCACAGUGCUGAAACCAUACGAACCUACCUGGACACCCAGACAGACAUUUGAACUUUGAGUGCUGGCACUACUUUUAGGAAGCGCAUUUUUAAUGUUUUAUAUUUAUUAUCAAUUCCCUGGAGUCGCUAAAUAAAUCUCUUUUAUUAUUAAGCACGGUGUUCUGAUUUCUCUUGCACGUAUUCUGAGCUUUGCGUCUGAGCCUCAACCUCCCUUUUAGGGUGUGUUACAACUGGCGUAGUCGGCAGGACGUAAAGAAACAAUUAGAGUCGUGCAAGAGAAAUUAUGACUGAGCCAGGUAGUUCAGCAAGCCCCAGAAUGAUGCCAAUAUACAUGGCAAACAUGAUUAUAUUCAAGUUUCGAGGCAAAGAUUCAGACUGUAGUCUUGGAGAAUGGAAGAGACAGUUAAACACACUAUUUAAUCUCCAAAAGAUUCCGGUCGAAUUCAGAGCGGACUUUACACUUAGCUGCUUGGAAGGGACCGCAAAAAGACAAAUUCUAAUUCUACCCCAAGAGAGAAGAAACACAGCUGAAUUGAUAUUUAAAAAAUUAGAAGAGCUAUACGGAGAUCAAGCCUCUGCCUCGGUCCUGCGCGCCCAGUUUUUUAAUAUCACCCAAGAGCCUCAAGAAGAUAUUGAUAGCUUUGCACUCCGGAUUCAAGAACACUUUGCCAGGCUGAAAAGGAGAGAUGCUCGAGGACUAAGAGACGAGGAUGUCCUGCUCCGUGAUGUUCUCAUUGAUGGCCUAAGAGAUCCAGACAUGCGGGGUGAGUUUAGAAGUAAAGUCCUCCUAAAUGAUGACGUAACAUUCGAACAAGUAAAAACGGAAAUGUUAGUACGUGAACGCGCAUAUGGGGCAAAACAGGAUCAAGUACAGUGUUUCGCCACUAGGGGGCAUUCUUCCUCACUUAACAGCGACCUAGAACAAAUGAAAAGACAAUUAAAAGAGGAAAUGAAUGAUCAGAUAGCAAGUAAAUUUAAUGAACUGUCUCAAUGCUUGAUAAGUGAAAUUCGAACAGAGCUCCAACAGGCCUCGCCAAGAAGGGCGCAACAAACAUCGACGCAGGGACGGAAUCAUCAUACACCUGACCGCAGGGCCCCAUGGCGUCCAGCAGCCAAUCAGUAUGACGAGCAAGGAACAUUUUGGCCAGCAGGGGGCACUACUUGAAGACCCUUCAGCAUGGUUGGCACUACAAGCAGCAAACGGCCUCGCGAUUCCGUACCUGGGGACACAGUGAAGUCCUGGUGUGGGGCCGUACCAAGGCUGGCAUUCAGAAACGGGAUUACCAGUGCCUAGUGGAGCCCUUUGGGGAGUCUGAUGUGCUCACCGCUCGAGCAGUAUCAACGGUCAAGCAGGGAAGGUUACCCAUCAGAGUGAGAAACAUAAGCAGCACCCCGGUCUACCUACGACGCCACCAGAAGCUGGCUAAGGCAUUUGUAGUGGAACCAGCAGACAU